rnacentral:rRNA from 1 species
UACGGAGGGUGCAAGCAUUGAUCGGAAUUACUGGGCGUAAAGGGCGCGUAGGCGGUUUGGAAAGUUAGAUGUGAAAUUCCGGGGCUCAACUCCGGAGCGGCAUUUAAAACUCCCAAACUAGAGUGCAGUUAGGGAAAACGGAAUUCCACGUGUAGCGGUGAAAUGCGUAGAUAUGUGGAAGAACACCGGUGGUGAAGACGGUUUUCUGGGCUGUAACUGACGCUGAGGCGCGAAAGCAAGGGGAGCAAACAGG